AUUGAUGAUCGUUCUUCUUUUCCUUUUUGGAGAUGAAGAGGGAGAGGACGUAGUCUGAGUGGU
rnacentral:snRNA from 1 species